rnacentral:rRNA from 1 species
GAUGAACGCUAGCGGCAGGCUUAAUACAUGCAAGUCGAGGGGCAGCACAGGUAGCAAUACUGGGUGGCGACCGGCAAACGGGUGCGGAACACGUACGCAACCUUCCUUUAAGUGGGGGAUAGCCCAGGGAAACUUGGAUUAAUACCCCUUAACAUUAUGAGAUGGCAUCAUUUUAUAAUUAAAGCUCCGGCGCUUAAAGAUGGGCGUGCGCCUGAUUAGGUAGUUGGCGGGGUAACAGCCCACCAAGCCUACGAUCAGUAACUGGUGUGAGAGCACGACCAGUCACACGGGCACUGAGACGCGGGCCCGACUCCUACGGGAGGCAGCAGUAAGGAAUAUUGGUCAAUGGACGCAAGUCUGAACCAGCCAUGCCGCGUGGAGGAUGACGGCCCUCUGGGUUGUAAACUCCUUUUAUCUGGGAAGAAAUGCAGAUUUUCUAAUCUGUUUGACGGUACCAGAGGAAUAAGCACCGGCUGACUCCGUGCCAGCCGCCGCUGUAA